CGCGGGGUGGAGCAGCCUGGUAGCUCGUCGGGCUCAUAACCCGAAGGUCGUGUGUUCUAAUCCGGCCCCCGCAACCA
rnacentral:tRNA from 1 species